rnacentral:rRNA from 1 species
AUUGAACGCUGGCGGCAGGCCUAACACAUGCAAGUCGAACGAGUAGCGGACGGGGGAGUAAUUUCUGGGAAACUGCCUGCUGGAGGGGUAUAACUAGUGGAAACGGUAGCUAAAACCGCAUACCAUCGGCACUGACCAUAUGGGAUUAGCUAGUAGGUGGGGUAAAGGCUCACCUAGGCGACGAUCCAUAGCUGGUCUGAGAGGAUGACCAGCCACACUGGAACUGAGACACGGUCCAGACUCCUACGGGAGGCAGCAGUGGGGAAUAUUGCACAAUGGGCGCAAGCCUGAUGCAGCCAUGCCGCGUGUAUGAAGAAGGCCUUCGGGUUGUAAAGUACUUUCAGCGGUGAGGCGUUACCCGCAGAAGAAGCACCGGCUAACUCCGUGCCAGCAGCCGCGGUAAUAC